AAUUUUAAUGGUUAUAUAGAUUUUUGCAUACCCUCAAACUGUACGUGCGUAACAAAACACGUCCUGAAGGGUCCAUUGCUGAAGCUUACUUAGACAAUGAAUGCUUGACAUUUUGUUCAAAAUUUCUUGGAGGGAUUGAGACUUGGUUCAAUCAAGAAGAAAGAUAUAGUGAGGGGGAUUGCAACAAUAACUGGACCACUAUUUUAGAUCUAAAGCAAGUAGUUCGACUUCUAGGGGUGCAAAGUUUGGAGAUAAUGUCCCGUAAGGACAUGAAAAUGGCCUGAUUGUACGUGUUACAAAAUUCUGAAGUAGUUGAGUCAUACGAAGAGUAAGUAACUUAUUGCAUGUCAUAUCUUGUCAGCUUAUGUGAAUAUAUAGUCGAUUGCUUAAUACAUGUACACAAUUUUAUCUUCACAACAUCUAAUUGUUUAGAAAACACAAGGUGGAACUUAAGAGACGAGAUCCACAAAAUGUUCAUCAAAGACAUGCAAAAGAAUUUUCUAGAUGGUUUGAAACACAAGUAAGUCCAUCAUGUAUAUAUUGGACUUAAUUAAUCAAAUUCUUUUAUUUAAUGAAAAUGAUGUGUUAUCAUUUGUUUAACACUACAAUUUUUUCAGUAGAUCUUGAAAAUGCGUCAUCAUCAAAAGGAAAUAACUUGUGAUGAUCUGUAUUCAUUAGCCUGUGGACCUGGAUCUCUAGUAAGUUGAUAUUCUACUUGUAUUGUAGAUGGGAUUAGGUUCUAUACUAAGGAAAGGGAACAAAAUCGACGAACACAAAAUUAUGGUGUGUUAGUGAAAGGAGAAUGCGAAGAUUACUAUGGUAAACUAACAGAUAUCAUUGAGUUACGAUAUCCACUGGGUAGACAAAUAUUCCUUUCCAAAUGUGAUUGGUUUGAUGUUAGGAUUGGUAUACAUAAAGAUAUCUAUUUUAAGAGCAUAAAUAUAGCCAGUAGAGCUCACAAAAAUGAGCCAAUUGUGUUAGCAAAUCAAGUAAAACAAUGCUUCUGCGUUGAAGACAUCAAAUUUUAAGGGACAUGGGAGGUAGUUUAAGAUAUAACAAAUAGAAGUUCAUUUGAUGUACUUGAAAAAGAGGGAAAAGUAGUAGUAGAUGAUGAAAUGUUUAACACUACAGCCUACCAAGAGAACGAACCAAGCAUCGUGGAUAGGAUUGUUAAAGUGGACUUGGACAUGGAUCCACUCUCUUUGAACAAGGAUGAUUUAGCGGGUGAAGCCCUUGAUGCUAAAGUGAUUGAAAAAUAUAGCGGUGAAACAACAAUUAAUGAUGACUUUUGGGUUGACGAGGAUGAUGAUGGAGUUUACAUUCAAUAUAGUUCAGAUUAGGAACUAAAAUUGUUGUCCGACAAUGAUACUUAUUUGGAUGACAUAUGAAGCUUUGUAUUGUUGGGCAUGUGUCAUAUUUUUUUGGAAUCAUGAUUAAUACAUGAUGUGAACUUUAUGUAGAAUUGAGUUCCUUCUCUUUUUCAAUAUAUUUACCUUUUAGUAUCUGUUGAGUGCUGGAAAUUAAUUAGCCUUGUUUGGUUGUGUGCUUCAUUACUUUUCUGAUUUAUUUAAACUAAUCUUAGAUCACUUGAUUUAUUUUCUAUUUAUGUUCUAAAGUAGCCAAUAUCAAAUGAUGACUCAGAAUGUAUUCCGCAUAUACUUGUUUAUUUUUAUUUAAUAUUACUUGAUUCUUCAUAUCAGCUUGUAAACAGAAUUAUAGACACUUCUAAGGCACCAAUGCAUAGACUAUUAAGGUCCAGCGUGGCUCAAACUCGAAUUGAGACACCAUCUACAAGUUCAACUACCACACAACCGAGUGGAGAAGCUGAAGGUUGUAAUUUAAUAAGUCAACAGCCUAUUAUGGAAGGUGCUGGUAAUACUUUGAAGACGAGGCCACAACCAAGUGGAGGCCCAAAACGAAAAGGGCAUGGAAAAGCAAAGAAUAUAGCCCUACACAAAGCUAAGGAACUCUAGUGAAAGGAUGUUCUAAUUCCAGUAGAGUUUGGGACGGGUUAUAUUAAACCCGUUGGCAAAAAUCACAAUUUAUGGACGGCUGAGGUUGGCAUCCAUACGAGAGAUAAAGAAGCACUAUUAAAAUAUAAAACUUGGAGGGAAAUUCCAGAUUAUGAGAGACAGGUCUUCUAUGAACAUUUUUAGGUGACCUUUGGAGUGGAUGCGCAUGACAAUGAAACUGAAUUCAAGCAAGUAACUAAGGAAGUGUCUAAAUGUUUAAGGAAAUAUAGAUAUAAAUUGAAGAAUCAUUUUGACAAGCAUCUUCCGAUUGAGAAUGCACGCUUGCAUCCUUAUGGUAUUAUUGAUAUUGAUGUUUGGGGAGAAAUGUGCGAUUAGUGGACUUCACCAGAAUUUCAAAAAAUAAGUGACAGAAAUAAAGGCAACCGUUCAAAGAAUGACAUUCCACAUGUUUUUGGAUCGAUGUCUUUCGCCAGAUGCUAUGAUGUUUAUCUGAAAGAAAGUCAAGAAAGGCAAAAAAGGCAAAAUGAAGAAGAUAAGGAAGUUGAAAGUCCUGAGGAGGGUCCUGCUACUAGUAUGUAUGUAAAAGGAUACACAUUUUAGGGAAGAAACUGGAUGGGUAAAUGAGAUAGCUAAGCAGAACUAUGUAAGUUUUUUUUUAUCCAUAUCUAUAUGCUAACUUUUUCUUUAAUUUCUAGACAUAGAAAAGUUUUACCAUACACUGGCCUAACAAGUUAGGUGAGCUGCUUGUGCCAAACAUAUCCCAGUCACCCUCUUCUAUAUAUAACUCCUAUUACAUUGCCAUGUUCUCAACAUACUAUAUACUCUACUCUAGCCAAUUAUA